CUGUCGGCCCGUUAUCGUUCGCUGCACCACCGGCUUCUCGGAUCAGGCAGUCGGCGGUAGAUUAAUCGAAAGCCGUCUAAGCGUUUCGAGCGCUCGAAUCGACGUGCUGUUUGCCGAGUGCAGCAAAGUAACCGUCACCGGGCGUCGAAAGCGGCGUAAUGAUAGCGCUCCGGACAGGCGCACGCAGAGCCAUGGUAAGUGGUGGCCUCCGUUUUGAGUUUCUUCUCGCAUGCCUGAUAGCUUCCCACCCGCAGGCAACUGCCGCGAGUGACGGCUGGAAGACGGCUGCUUCCAUCUACGAUUUCGACGCCGUUGACAUUGACGGAAACCAAGUGUCCUUGUCCAAAUACAGGGGCCAUGUAGCUCUGGUCGUGAACGUGGCCUCCAAGUGAGGCAUGACCAACAAAAACUAUCAGCAGCUCCAAGAGCUGCAUGAGAAGUUUGCAGAAUCCAAGGGUCUGCGCAUCCUCGCAUUUCCCUGCAACCAGUUCGGGGGUCAGGAGCCCGGCACGGAGGCAGAGAUCAAGGAGUUUGCGAAGAAGUUCAACGUCCAGUUCGACAUGUUCAGCAAGGUGAACGUCAACGGGGACCAGGCCCAUCCGCUCUGGAAGUACCUCAAGCACAAGCAGUCUGGCUUCUUGAUGGAUGCCAUCAAGUGGAACUUCUCAAAGUUUCUGAUCGACAAGGACGGUCAGCCAGUGAAGCGGUACGCUCCCACUACAGAGCCCCUGGCCAUCGAGCCAGACCUCCUGAAAUACUUCUAAGUGCCCGACAGUCUGUUCUCUUGGGCGCGGCUGCGAAGAGUGGCACCCCUUGACGGAGGACCGUAUGACGGCCAGGCUACAAAUCGCGCCAGCGACCAGCCCGUCCUGAGGAUCACCCCCCGUCCCGAGCCGAGGGGAGCCAGUCUUCGCUGCAGUCUCCGAGAGUCCGGCCGUCGACCGAGAAGUCACCCAUUCCUAGUUCUUGCAAUAAACCUGUUUUAGUUCA